ACGACGUAGGCGGUGCAGCAAGUCAGGGGUGCAAGCUCCAGGCCUAACCUGGAAAUUGCCUCUGAAACUACUGUGCUUGAGGAUCAGAGGGGAAACUGGAAUUCACGGUGUAGCGGUGAAAUGCGUAGAUAUCGUGGAGAACACCCGUGGCGAAGGCGGGUUUCUGGCUGAUUUCUGACGCUGAGGUGCGAAAAGCUAGGGGAGCGAACGGGAUUAGAUACCCCGGUAGUCCUAGCCGUAAACGAUGGGUACUAGGUGUGGGGAUUAACAUCUCCGUGCCGACGCCAACGCAUUAAGUACCCGCCUGGGACUACGGCCGCAAGGUUAAA
rnacentral:rRNA from 1 species